rnacentral:rRNA from 1 species
GUGGAUUAGAUACCCUGGUAGUCCACGCCGUAAACGAUGAGUGCUAGGUGUUCGGGGUUUCGAUACCCUGGGUGCCGAAGUUCACGCAUUAAGCACUCCGCCUGGGGAGUACGGUCGCAAGACUGAAACUCAAAGGAAUUGACGGGGACCCGCACAAGCAGUGGAGUAUGUGGUUUAAUUCGAAGCAACGCGAAGAACCUUACCAAGUCUUGACAUCCUUCUGACCGGACUAGAGAUAGUCUUUCCCUUCGGGGCAGAAGUGACAGGUGGUGCACGGCUGUCGUCAGCU